rnacentral:rRNA from 1 species
UACGGAGGGAGCUAGCGUUGUUCGGAAUUACUGGGCGUAAAGCGCGCGUAGGCGGCUUUGUAAGUUAGAGGUGAAAGCCCGGAGCUCAACUCCGGAACUGCCUUUAAGACUGCAUCGCUUGAAUCCAGGAGAGGUGAGUGGAAUUCCGAGUGUAGAGGUGAAAUUCGUAGAUAUUCGCAAGAACACCAGUGGCGAAGGCGGCUCACUGGCCCGGUACUGACGCUGAGGUGCGAAAGCGUGGGGAGCAAACAGGGAU